UCUUAAAUCUUUAGGAGAAAUUUUUAGAAAAAAGUUUAAGAAGAGAUGGCAAAUAUUAGGGGUUUAAGUUUAGCCAUUUUGUUGGUUAGUGUUGUUUUAGCUUCUGGUCUUCUACAUGGAGCCUUUGCACAGACAGGGAAUGGUGGCGUCUCGAAGAUACAGACAGGGUACGGCGAUUUUGUUAGCCCCUUGCAGGCAGCUUUAGUUCACUGCAAUGCCGCUGUUGAGAAUCAAAAUUGCUGUAAAGCACUCAGUACCGCUAUACACAACGAACGAUACUGUUGGGCUUCUUUGUUUGGACAAAUUUUCAUUGCUGAUCUCUUCAAGUGUGGUGUUAUUCCAAAGUGCUAGAGUACUUGAUAGACAGAGCAUCAACUUCAAACGAGAGUUAUGUUUUGAUCUCUGAUUUUCUACUAUGUCUUGAGAUUUGAGAGGGGCGAAAAAAAAAAAAAGAAGAAGAAGAAGAAUGAAAAGUUGGGACUUAUAGUUCCUUAUAUUACCUAAAUAUGAAGUACUUAAGUUUCUCUGUCCAUGUAACUUGAUAAUGAAUAAAUGUGAGUUCGAUACCAA